ACAGAUCGUUCAGAGUUUGAUCCUGGCUCAGGACGAACGCUGGCGGCGUGCCUAACACAUGCAAGUCGAGCGAGGUAUUUGCGACUGAUUCCUUCGGGAAGAAGUUGCAAAUCACCUAGCGGCGGACGGGUGAGUAACGCGUGAGGAACCUACCUCCUACAAAGGGAUAGCCUCGGGAAACUGGGAUUAAUACCUUAUGACACUUAAGAGUCGCAUGACUUUUAAGUUAAAGCGUUUUAGCGGUAGGAGAUGGCCUCGCGUCCCAUUAGCUAGUUGGUGAGGUAACGGCUCACCAAGGCGACGAUGGGUAGCCGGCCUGAGAGGGUGGACGGCCACACUGGAACUGAGACACGGUCCAG
rnacentral:rRNA from 1 species